CGAGAAUAUUCAGUCUUCUUAUUGAAGAGAUAUUGGGGUAGCUGAGAGAAGGAGAGGAAGAUGGAGAGAGGCGUCAAGAGCGUUCAUUCAUUUGUUCAUUCAUUUGUUGGGUAGGAUUGUGGUGGAUGUUGGGCCUAUCCUGGGAAUCCAUCCUGGAUGCUAGUCUACUGCAACAGACAGACAGACAGACAGACAGACAGAUACUGUAGGUAAAUAGGUAGGUAGGUAGGUAGGUAGAUAGAUAGAUAGAUAGAUAGAUAGAUAGAUAGAUAGAUAGAUAGAUAGAUAGAUAGAUAGAUAGAGAAACAAACUGAGAGACAGACAGACAAAGAAAACAUAUAGAUACAUACAUACAUAGAUAUUGUAGGUAGAUAGAUAGAUAGAUAGAUAGAUAGAUAGAUAGAUAGAUAGAUAGUAUAGAUAGAUACAUAGAUAGUAUAGACAGAUAGAUAGAUAGAUAGAUAGAUAGAUAGAUAGAUAGAUAGUAUAGACAGAUAGAUAGAUAGAUAGAUAGAUAGAUAGAUAGUAUAGAUAGAUAGAUAGAUAGAUAGAUAGUAUAGACAGAUAGAUAGAUAGAUAGAUAGAUAGAUAGAUAGAUAGAUAGAGAAACAAACUGAGAGACAGACAGACAAAGAAAACAUAUAGAUACAUACAUACAUAGAUAUUGUAGAUAGAUCGAUAGAUAGAUAGAUAGAUAGAUAGAUAGAUAGAUAGAUAGAUAUUGUAGAUAGAUCGAUAGAUAGAUAGAUAGAUAGAUAGAUAGAUAGAUAGUAUAGAUAGAUACAUAGAUAGUAUAGAUAGAUACAUAGAUAGAUACAUAGAUAGAUAGAUAGUAUAGAUAGAUAGAUAGAUAGAUAGAUAGAUAGAUAGAUAGAUAGAUUUAGUGACAGUUAUCACUGAAAAAAAAUUUUUUAAAAUGGUUGAGUAAAUAAAUAAACAAGCAGUUUAGGCCAAUUUUAAUGCUCCAAUAAAUAUUAAUACAUUUACAAAUCUGAAAUAAAUAUAAAAAUAUUAAUCCAUUCAUCCAGUUUCAAACAUUUAUACAAACAUUUAAAUAAUUAACAAAUAAAAAAUAAAAAAUAAACAUAUAUGCUAAAUAAAUUCAAUUAAAAAAUAAUAAUGUGACAGGAAAGUUAUAUCAAUUCUUUAUUAAUGCUUUAUUUAUUUAAAAAAAAUCUAAACAUCUAGAGCACACUUACACACACACACGCACUUACACACACACACACACACACACACACACUUACACACACACACACACAGCUUGUAAUCCUUUGCUCCAUUCCCUUCCCUGUCAGUCACUUUGUAUCCUCCUCUUCCUCUACAUCAUUUGUCCAAACCUGUCCUUGACAACUGUGUGUGUGUGUGUGUGUGUGUGUGUGUGUGUGUGUGUGUGUGUGUGUGUGUGUGUGUGUGUGUGUGUGUGUGUGAGAGAGAGAGAGAGAGAGAGAGAGAGAAUCCUGGAUUCUGCUGUGUCAGACGGAUCUAGUGGCAUUGCUGCGGGAAACGUGAUCAGCUUUGAGGAAAAAACGCUGCACACAGGAAAAACGAGGCGUCACACACACUUUAAGAAAAACAAGGACAAUACACAUCUGUCUGUCUAUCUGUCUAUCUAUCUAUCUAUCUAUCUAUCUAUCUAUCUAGCCAUCCAUCCAUCCAUCCAUCUAAAGACUACUAAAGAAGUCACCUGGACAAAAGUGUCUCAAUGAGUAUAUAGGAGUGUGUAAUUAAGACCAUUGCUUUCAUUUUGGUUUUGAUCAUGAUUUGUUGUGUGUGUCUCUGUGUGUCUGUGUGUGUGUCUGUGUGUGUGUGUGUGUGUGCGUGUGUGUGUCUGUGUGUGUGAAAACAUUAUUCAUAAAAGAAUGUCUGCUUCUCGGCUGAUGAAUCGCGUCAGGCUCUAUAUUAAACGCAGCCCUGUAUUAUAGUCACUGUGUUAUUAUACUGCUCUGAAAUGUGAGUCAUGCACUCGCAUCAAAACCACUGCACUUAUUCACACACUGCCAUGGCAUUCAUCACAAACGCAGCCGUCUGCCUACCGAUUUAUCCUCAGUCUAGUGCAGAAGAUCGAGUCCUCCGUUCUGAUUGGUCAGAAGGUCUGAUUCGUUGAGACAGUAGUUCAGCUAGCCCAGCGUGGGGCACAAGAACAACACUGCGGACAGAUCGGAAAUGCCAGGAAGAGGAAACCGGACCGGAGUACCUGGAGGAAACCCACGGAAGCACGAGGAGAACAUGCAAACUCCACGCACACAGAACAGAGGCCGGAUUCAAACCCCCAGCCCCAGAGGUGCGAGGCCAACGUGCUAACUACUAAGCCAGCGUGUCAUCCAUUCAUAAAUAAAAUCGUAAUCAUUAGCAAAUCGCCGGGCAGUGAGAAGAAUAAAACACUUCGGGACACGCUGUUAUCGUAAAAUAAUCCACGCCAAGGCAUUGCGUUAAAUGUUACUAUAACCGGAUAAAUAGUACAUGUGAUUCUUGAAUAAAUAAAAUGAUCAAAUCGCUGGGAUAUAAGAGGAAUAAAACACCUCCGGACGUGCUGUUAUGGCUCCCAUUAAACGUACUGCAGCUAUUAAAUGUAACUAUAAACGGAUAUAAAUGCUCAACAUGUC
ensembl:lncRNA